CCUACGGGUGGCAGCAGUGGGGAAUAUUGCACAAUGGGGGAAACCCUGAUGCAGCGACGCCGCGUGAGUGAAGAAGUAUUUCGGUACGUAAAGCUCUAUCAGCAGGGAAGAAAAUGACGGUACCUGACUAAGAAGCCCCGGCUAACGACGUGCCAGCAGCCGCGGUAAUACGUAGGGGGCAAGCGUUAUCCGGAUUUACUGGGUGUAAAGGGAGCGUAGACGGCAGCGCAAGUCUGGAGUGAAAUCCCAUGGCUUAACCAUGGAACUGCUUUGGAAACUGUGCAGCUAGAGUGCAGGAGUGGUCAGCGGCAUUCCUCGUGUAGCGGUGAAAUGCGUAGAUAUUAGGAGGAACACCAGUGGCGACGGCGGCUUACUGGACUGUACCUGACGUUGAGGCUCGACAGCGUGGGGAGCAAACAGGAUUAGAUACCCCGGUAGUC
rnacentral:rRNA from 1 species